AGAUGUGAGGGCCAUCUGGCUGUAACAUCUAUUACCUCACUGAUCACCAGGACCGACCAGCUGAUCUUGCUCAGUAGGUAGGUGACCCCUUCCAAACCUCACAACUCCCUGUGGUCCCUCCCAGUGGAGCAGAAUAGCUUGCAGAGGACAACCCUCCCCAACAGAAGAGGACAAUUCUGUGGUCAAGAGUAUAGCAGCAGCUGUGCUCCCCUGCUAGAAUGUCCACACAACUUCUCAUAAGGCAAGAAAAUCUAAAGAUAAGUACACCAUAUGUCUAGCACAAAUUUUUUAGCAACAAUGCAUUUUGGAUAAAA
rnacentral:snRNA from 1 species